ACAGUGGACGCGAGCAUCUGUGGCCAAGUUUUUAAGGGCGCACGGUGGAUGCCUUGGCACCAGGAACCGAUGAAGGACGUGGGAGGCCACGAUAGUCCCCGGGGAGUCGUCAACCAGGCUUUGAUCCGGGGGUUUCCGAAUGGGGAAACCCGGCAGUCGUCAUGGGCUGUCACCCGCUGCUGAACACAUAGGCAGUGUGGAGGGAACGCGGGGAAGUGAAACAUCUCAGUACCCGCAGGAAGAGAAAACAACCGUGAUUCCGGGAGUAGUGGCGAGCGAAACUGGAUGAGGCCAAACCGUAUGCGUGUGAGACCCGGCAGGGGUUGCGCAUGCGGGGUUGUGGGAUCUCUCUUCCACGGUCUGCCGGCCGUGGGACGAGUCAGAAACCGUUGAUGUAGGCGAAGGACAUGCGAAAGGUCCGGCGUAGAGGGUAAGACCCCCGUAGUCGAAACGUCAGCGGCUCGUUUGAGAGACACCCAAGUAGCACGGGGCCCGAGAAAUCCCGUGUGAAUCUGGCGGGACCACCCGCUAAGCCUAAAUAUUCCCUGGUGACCGAUAGCGGAUAGUACCGUGAGGGAAUGGUGAAAAGUACCCCGGGAGGGGAGUGAAAUAGUACCUGAAACCGUGUGCCUACAAGCCGUGGGAGCGUCGGA
rnacentral:rRNA from 1 species